UACGGGGGGGGCAAGCGUUGUUCGGAAUUACUGGGCGUAAAGGGCUCGUAGGCGGCCAACUAAGUCGGAUGUGAAAGCCCUUGGCUUAACUGAGGAAGUGCAUCCGAAACUGGCAGGCUAGAGUACUAAAGAGGGUCGCGGAAUUCCCGGUGUAGAGGUGAAAUUCGUAGAUAUCGGGAGGAACACCGGUGGCGAAGGCGGCGACCUGGGUAGAUACUGACGCUGAGGUGCGAAAGCGUGGGGAGCAAACAGG
rnacentral:rRNA from 1 species